UAUAUGAAAUAAUACAUGAUACAAUUUAAAAUGGCUGUUUGUGAAUUCAUAAAUAAAGAUCCACAUAUCCUCUAUGAAGCAGCGGGUAGAAGAAACAAUGGCAGUGGCAGCUUUU